CAAAGCAAAAUAUUUUUUUGGUUUCCCACGGUAUCCCCCAACCCGGCAGGUCAAGGACUAAUCCGUCGCAGUACUGAGCUCCAUUUAAGGGUUUGCCGCUGGCCAAUGGGUUGCUGCAUGCACAAGGCGGGAUUCGAACCCCCGACACUUGCUUAAGCGUAUUCACUCUCUACACAUAAUAAUAAUAAAGUCCAACUAAAUAAACAAACAAAAUUUCUAUAAAAUGUUUCUUUCAAAAAAAAUAAUUGAAUAAAUUAAAAAAUAACAUUACGUUCAAUUAAUUAAAAUGUUCAUUUUAUUAAAUUCUACCUAAAGUGAUAUUGUUAGUGACUACAUAAAGAAAAAACAAACUCAAUAUUCAAAAGCAAUAAAAAAUAACACAAAAAACAAUAAAUUAAAUCAAAAUUAAAAACUAUAUGUCUCAAAACAAAAAAAGAAUAACAGAGCAGUGUACAACUAUUUUAAAUCAUGUAAGGGCGAACAUUAGGGAACUGACCACUAAGACUAAAAAUACCGUUUGAAAGUAAUCAUGGACAACUCAAUGAGAAGAGAAUUUUGAAUUUAAUAAACAUUAUUAUUCAAAUAAGGACCUCAACUAUAAAUAAAAUCAAAACUCAUUUCAUCAUAUUUCAUUAGUCUAUAUUGUGUACAAAACUAAAAGCAACACAAACCAAAAAGAGAGGUCACACAAAUAAAAUUAAAAAAAAAAUUAAACUAAUUUAUCAUACCCAAGUGCCUAACUAAUUUAAGUGUAUGACAACUAUAUAAUAAAUACAUCAUGGAGUUUAAGUAAUAAUCAUACCCAAAUUAACUCCAUUUUCAAUAAUUAUUACUAAACCAUUAAAUUUUUAAUUCACAAACAAUGUAUAUAACUCGUGCAUGUUUCUAGCCAUUUAGAAAAAUUAUGUUUAGUUUAGUUCUAACUAUAUAAAUCGUUUGGAAGAUGGUCAUUGGCAAAAUUUUUUUUUAAUCAGAGUAACCACAAUCAACGCAAUACAUUGUAUAAUGUAUAUGUAUGCAUCAUCUCACCACAAAAGAAUUAUAAAAGUAUCACAGUAUUUAUAUCAAAAUUCCAAGCAAUAAACUUUAAAUAUAGAUUAAGUAUAUGAAAGUGUUGAAGCAAUAAUUCAUGCAUCAGACAUGACAUAAUUCAUCAGCAUCAAUCACCUUAACAUUUGCUGUUCUAAAAUUUAUCUCUCAUAACUGUCCUGUGGGCCACCCGUGCUCUUUCUUUGUUGAAGAGAUUAAGCUCUAUGCCAACCAAAUCUCUCAAGUAUAUUAGAUUCAUGUUCCCAGAAAAACCAUUUAGCAAAGAAAGAACAACACCUCUCUUUUGAUUUGCAUACUUCUAAUUCGGUCCCUGCUGAGAUUACACACAUUUUUGUAACAGAUGUAGCUGCUGUUCUCUUUUAUAGAGAAUUUGUCUAAUUAUUGUUUUGUUCUGUUUGGAGUCUUUGAACCNUCAUUUUGAUUUAAAUAUAUGACUUCCAAUAAAUGGAUAAUGCCGUGUGAGA
rnacentral:lncRNA from 1 species